UGAACUCGCUGUGAAGAUGCAGUGUACCCGCGGCAAGACGGAAAGACCCCGUGAACCUUUACUAUAGCUUGACACUGAACAUUGAGCCUUGAUGUGUAGGAUAGGUGGGAGGCUUUGAAGUGUGGACGCCAGUCUGCAUGGAGCCGACCUUGAAAUACCACCCUUUAAUGUUUGAUGUUCUAACGUGGACCCGUUACCCGGGUUGCGGACAGUGUCUGGUGGGUAGUUUGACUGGGGCGGUCUCCUCCUAAAGAGUAACGGAGGAGCACGAAGGUUGGCUAAUCCUGGUCGGACAUCAGGAGGUUAGUGCAAUGGCAUAAGCCAGCUUGACUGCGAGCGUGACGGCGCGAGCAGGUGCGAAAGCAGGUCAUAGUGAUCCGGUGGUUCUGAAUGGAAGGGCCAUCGCUCAACGGAUAAAAGGUACUCCGGGGAUAACAGGCUGAUACCGCCCAAGAGUUCAUAUCGACGGCGGUGUUUGGCACCUCGAUGUCGGCUCAUCACAUCCUGGGGCUGAAGUAGGUCCCAAGGGUAUGGCUGUUCGCCAUUUAAAGUGGUACGCGAGCUGGGUUUAGAACGUCGUGAGACAGUUCGGUCCCUAUCUGCCGUGGGCGCUGGAGAACUGAGGGGGGCUGCUCCUAGUACGAGAGGACCGGAGUGGACGCAUCACUGGUGUUCGGGUUGUCAUGCCAAUGGCACUGCCCGGUAGCUAAAUGCGGAAGAGAUAAGUGCUGAAAGCAUCUAAGCACGAAACUUGCCCCGA
rnacentral:rRNA from 2 species